UCUUUUGUUGCUCCGGAGUUCUUGUAGGGGAAAGGAACGUGCUGUGGUGGGAAUUUCAGACGCCUCAGUCAUUUCUUGCUCUCUGUC
rnacentral:miRNA from 7 species